UCACCUGAGUAUGGGAAGUCAAGGGUGCA
rnacentral:piRNA from 1 species